CGCUUUCUGCAGAGUCACUGAAGGAAAGAUCCAUGAAGGGGAAGGUGAGACCCUCCUGGCCAUCUGGUCAAGUUCCUGGAAGAGGUCAAUUGCAAAUUUAGGAAUGCCAGUGCCAGCCGGGUCGCCUGACAAGCCAUCCUUUCAAGGUCUGUGCGGGCCUGGAAGAGCCUCAGUUCUGUCUCCUGACUUGUGGAGGGUGACUGCCCCGGAGGCCUUGCCACACUGUGCACCAUCAGGGAAUUACUCCGCGGCAUCUCCUUUUCAACCAGUUAGCUCUAGCUUCCACCACACAUAGUGGGGAGGGCUAGGAUUGUCUUUCAAGGAAAGGAAGAGGUAAGCACGUUUUAGGGAAGGAAAAAUCCUUUAACCUAACAUGUUAACUAGUAUAGCAAGUUUUCAAAUAUGCAGAUUAAUAGGGGUUUUCAUAUGAGGAUACUUCAAAAAGUUCAUGUAAAACGGAAGUAAAAUUUAUUUUGGUGCAAAACCAAUUUGAAAUUCAUGUAUAGUUUUUUUUUCUAAUACAUAUUUUACAUGUACUUUUUGAAGACUCCUUGUAUACUUCUAUAUUGAUAUUUUAUUACCAUCUUGUAAUGUUUUUUAAAAAAGAUUCAUUUAUUUAUUUAUUUUGUUUGAAAGACAGAGACACACACACACAAAGAGAGAGAGAGAGAAACAGUGAGGGAGCACUCUCAUCUACUGGUUCAUUCCCCAAAUGCCCUGACACCAGGCGUUGGGCCAGGUUGAAGCCAGGAGCCUAUCACAUGUGGGUAGACAGUACCAAGUCUUAAAACCAUAGCCUGCGGCCUCCUGGGCUGCACAUCAACAGGAAGCUGGCAGCGGGAGCUGAACCGGGACUCAAAAGCAGGCUCUUUGGGAUGUGGGCAUCUUAAUCGCUGUGCCAAACACCCGGCCCCUCAUUCUGCUCUCUUAGCUGCUGUUGAAUCAUCAACCUCUGCUAUUUUCCCGAGACGUCUCUAUUUUAGCACUGAAAAACUUGGCGUCUCGAAGAAACCCCUCCACCCCAAGCAAAAGAGGACACCUGGUUACCGCUGUGGUUUGAAGAAGUUUUGUUCCCUCUGAAACUCAGGUUGAAGUUUCACCCUAUUUAGAAGUGUUAGGGGUGAGGCCUUUAGGCCUGAAGGGCUCUGCCUUGUGAAUGGAUUAAGCCAUUGCCAAGAUGAACUUGGGAAGGUGAAACUACCAAAUUCUCAUGCCUUUUGCUCUUGCCGGGGUACCUCUGUGCUUCCAUAUUUCUGUGCCUGUUUGGCAGCUGGUGUCAUGGUAACGGACAGGUCCACCUGCUGGGCUAGCUGCCCACAAGUCUGUGAUGUAAUGGUUUGGCUCUGGGCCACAUUUAUCUGUAACCCAUAUAAGCUAGUGGGGGGCAUGGCUGGAUGCAGUUGCCUGGGGAUGGAUGUGGACACAUGUGCAGCUGCUUGUGGCUGUGUGGAGAUGUCUGACUGCCAUUGUGGACACAAAGGCGGAAAUCUCCUGUGGCUCCACCACCAGUCUGUUCCUUGUGCAUUUCUCACCGCACCACUGUUUGGAAAGGAGAAAGAAACCCACAAAUGGCUCCGAGUUGUCCUCUGCCCUGUUGGAAUCUAGAUCUGCUUGUCGUGGGCCUAAGCCCCGGCAUACAACCAUUCAUGUCUGACCCAGUGGCUCCCUUACCUUGCUAUACCUCAUGCCACCAGCAAGAAGGCCAUCACCAGAUGUGAACCCUUGACCUUGGGCUAGAGCUGUGAGUCAAAAUAAACCCCUUCUCUUUGUAA